AUGGGAGCGAGCCUGCUCGCGAUGACGACAGAUCAGUCGGCAUUGAUGUCAGCUGACAGACCGCAAUCGCGAGCAGGCUCGUUCCCAC
rnacentral:misc_RNA from 1 species